GGCGGAGCCGCCAGGCCGGGGCUGCUCGCGGGGGGCGGCGGAGGGGCCGCGGGCCUGGGGGGCGGGUGCCGACGAGCUGCCGGAGGCCCGGGCCGCCUGGAAGCUGGCUGCGCACGGUCCGCGGAGGCACGGGACGCGCCGGUGCCGCUGACUCCGGGCCGGCCCGGCCGCCGACGCCCACACGGGGAGCGCGCAGGGGUCGCGCGGGGGGAGCGCGCAGGGAGCUCUCGGAGCUCUCGGAAUGUGCAGGGGGCGCGCGGGGAGGGCGCAGGAGGUGCGCGGGUAGCUCUCGGGGCGCGCAGGGAGUUCGCAGGGGGCGUGCAGGGAGCGCGCAGGGCCGCAGGGGGCGCGCGGGGAGUUCGCAGGGGGCGUGCAGGGGACGCGCAGGGGGCGCGCGAGGGGCGUGCAGGGAGCUCUCAGGGAGCGCGCAGGGGGCGUGCGGGGGGCGUGCGGGGGGCGUGCAGGGAGCUCUCAGGGGGCGUGCAGGGAGCGCGCAGGGGGCUCUCAGGGAGCGCGCAGGGGGCGUGCGGGGGGCGUGCAGGGAGCGCGCAGGGGGCUCUCAGGGGGCGUGCGGGGGGCGCGCAGGGGGCGCGCGAGGGGCGUGCAGGGAGCUCUCAGGGGGCGUGCAGGGAGCGCGCAGGGGGCUCUCAGGGGGCGUGCGGGGGGCGCGCAGGGGGCGUGCAGGGAGCGCGCAGGGGGCUCUCAGGGAGCGCGCAGGGGGCGUGCGGGGGGCGCGCGGGGAGUUCGCAGGGGGCGUGCAGGGGACGCGCAGGGGGCGCGCGAGGGGCGUGCAUGGAGCUCUCAGGGGGCGUGCAGGGGGCGGGCGGGGAGUUCGCUGGGAGCUCAGGGAGCGCCCAGGGGGUGCGCAGCUGGCUCGCUGGGAGCUUGCAGGGGGCGUGCAGGAGCGCGCAGGCGUUAGCGUUGCGGGCUGUUGGCCUCGGUGCAGCCCCGCCCCGCGUCCUGCCCGUAGGGGGGCCGUCGAGGCCUAGGUGGAGGGAACCCCUUCCCCGUCGGCUCUCCCGGCACAAACUGCUCGCCGGACGGGGGAGUCGAGCAUGUUGCUUCCCGAAGGCCACAAUACAGUUGCAAACGGGUUUCUUUCUUUUUUUCCGGGUGCAUCUAAAUCAGUCCGUGUAUGUAAAGCCCAAUGAUCCUGUUGAAAAUUGA
rnacentral:lncRNA from 1 species